rnacentral:rRNA from 1 species
AAUGAGCUAGCUAGAACAAUUUAGCAAAGAGACCUUAAGCUAAAACCCCCGAAACCAGACGAGCUACUUAUGAACAACCCACAGGGGUAAACUCAUCUGUGUC